GUGUGUUUGGUCCCAUGUAAAAUUAAGAAAAAUAAAUUUUUGGUGGAAAAAAAAUUUUUAGUGGAAAAAAAUUUUACGUCGUUUGUGUUUGGUUUAUAGGAAAAGAAAAAUAGCUUUUCAUAACAGUUAUUUAGUUAAAAGGAAAAAAUAAAAAAAUAAAAAAUUAUUUAAUAUAUUUUUUAUUAUAUAUAUUAUCUCUAAUUAUAUAUAUAUUAUAUAUUAUUAAUAUAUAAUAAUUAUCAUAAUAUAUUUAAUUAUUAUAAUUUAUAUUUAUAAAUAAAAUAUAUUAUAUAAUAAAUAUGUAAUAUAAUAUAUAAUAAUAUAUAUUUAAUACUAUAAAAUAAAUUAUUAUGUAUUUAUAAAU
rnacentral:lncRNA from 1 species